UAAAACUUGUCUCCGUUUGCUCUUACUGCUGUCUAGGAAAAACAGGUGAGAUUUUAAAGAGAUGUGAUUUUUCUUUCCUAUGAAACUCUCAUUACUCACUGUAUAUUACAUAUUCUCAGCUAAUAUUAGAGUCUCAGUGCAGUGCUGCCCCAGAGGCUCCCUCAGGCUCAGAGAUAAUUUCUUCCUUGUUUUAGGAAUGACUCCGACAUAACCUCCUGAUUCCCAUCAGCCCCGUGUCCGGCAGCAUUCCAUCACUCUUUGACUGUAUCGAUUUGGCCGUCUCUCUUGUCGGCCUCAUCACUGCACCUCAUCACUGUAUACGUAUGUCUGAGGAUGACUGCAGGUGUUGUGGGUCGACGUGCUGCAGCAUACGGGCAAAAUGCAAUUCACCUUUGUUUCGAGAGCCCUUGGCUUUUCUGUCUGAAGCAAGAAAGUCAUAUGCGCUCAGAACAACAUGAGGAGAGCAAUGAAACACCGCAUCAGUCAGGAAGAGGUCUCUUAUGAUGUCAGAAUAUUUUGUUCUGUCCAGCAGAGCGGUCUCCUGUCAGCCAUGGGGCAGCUGGCCAACCAAAGGCAGAGAGGAAAGACAGACACAAGGUUCUUUUGUAUUUCUGCCAAAAAUAACAGCAUAUUCUGUAUGGAUAUUGUACAACAAAAGAUCCCACAUGACUUUAUUCUAAUGGAUGUGGAUUAAUUGCCCUCUUGUGGUUUGGAGUCAUAAAUCCUCAUAGAUCACUGCAAUAUUAUCUUGAUUAUAUGGUGUGCAUGGUAUAAUAUAGAUUAUAAUAUAACAUACACAUCCUAUCUAUCUACACUCUAAAAAAUGCUGGGUUAAAAACAACCCAAGUUGGG